rnacentral:lncRNA from 1 species
AAAGAACAAUAAUCAAUAUUUUCCGGGUUGUAAAAAAAAAGAUUUUUGAGAUCUCGCUUUAUUUCAAGCCGAGAUUCAACUGUUUAGGCUCAAAGGGGUUAACAAAUGCUCUCUCUGCUCACAGGUAAGUUGUUUUUGGAUGUAGUUGUGCUCGAAAGAAAACAAGGCCUUGAUCAUUUCUAAUUGCUUCCACAAUUUCACAAUAA